rnacentral:lncRNA from 1 species
GAGCCGCCUUGAGAUUGGCCAUAAGCGCCGGUGGCGGGGGUCGCGAGAGGCGUCAGGAUCCCUGGCGCCGCCUGAGCCAGCGGCUGCUAGGAGGCUGUGUCCGCAAGCCAGCGGGGCGAGGCACCUGGGGCCUGCGCGUCAGGUCCCGGCCUGGGGCACCGGGGCUGCCAGCGUCGGAGGAGGCCUGAGACCUGGGAGGAAGCUGGAGAAAAGAUGCCCUCUGAAUCUUUGUGUUUGGCUGCCCAGGCUCGCCUUGACACCGAAUGGUUGAAAACAGAUAUACAGAUGAUAGUGUCGAACCAAGUGAAACAAAGAAAGAAGAUCUGAAUGACAAAGAGAAAAAAGAUGAAGACGAAACUCCUGCACCUGUAUAUAGGGCCAAGUCAAUUCUGGAGACCUGGGCGUGGGGCAAGCAACCAGGUGACAGAGCCCUCAAGGGGACAGAGCCCAUGCUCAUAACCAGAAGGAGCCCUGGCAUUCCCUGGACGUGAAGCACUAUUUGUCCAUUCAGCAAGAAUUACUCAACCCCUAUCUGCCAACCCAGAGGCCCAGUGAUGAACAGGACCAAUCCAGUUCUUGCCCCCAUGAGGCCUUCAUUUUGAUGGAACAAUCAGGCUCAAGAACCUCUUAAGGAGUUGCUAAGAGGUUCCUGAAUGAGUGGGCCCAAUUAACUGCAGUCAAGUCUGCUGUGCUGAGGCCUGGCAAAUCAGAAUUUCUGGAUCAAUUUGGAAACUAAGACUAGAAAAGAUCUGUGUUUCGUCAUCUGGAACCCAGGGAGAGGGUGAGGCACGUGGAGUUCCUUGACCCCUCAUCUUGCUGAAGCAGCAAGCAUGGCUAUUUAGAGCCUGUCUGCUUUGCACAUCCCAUGAGAGUGCAGUCAACAUCUGCUAGCCAUAGAUAAGACAAACUCUGUGGUUAUAAAAGACCCAAACUUCUGCUGUUCUAAGAGCUCCAUGACCCGGAGACGCCCCACCUCACUGCUGAGCAACAUCUUCCCUGCCCAAGUGCCACUCAAUAAAGCUUGUUGUACAAUACUGUCA